UAUAAAUCAUCUGUCCGGCCC
rnacentral:miRNA from 1 species